rnacentral:rRNA from 1 species
UACGUAGGGUGCAAGCGUUAAUCGGAAUUACUGGGCGUAAAGCGUGCGCAGGCGGUUGUGCAAGACCGAUGUGAAAUCCCCGGGCUUAACCUGGGAAUGGCAUUUGGGACUGCAAGGCUGGAGUGUGGCAGAGGAGACUGGAAUUCCUGGUGUAGCAGUGAAAUGCGUAGAUAUCAGGAGGAAUACCGAUGGCGAAGGCAGGUCUCUGGGCUAACACUGACGCUCAUGCACGAAAGCGUGGGGAGCAAACAGG